rnacentral:rRNA from 1 species
UACCUACGGGAGGCAGCAGUGGGGGAUAUUGCACAAUGGGGGAAACCCUGAUGCAGCGACGCCGCGUGGGCGAAGAAGUAUUUCGGUAUGUAAAGCCCUAUCAGCAGGGAAGAAGAAGUGACGGUACCUGAGUAAGAAGCACCGGCUAAAUACGUGCCAGCAGCCGCGGUAAUACGUAGGGGGCAAGCGUUAUCCGGAUUUACCGGGUGUAAAGGGAGCGUAGACGGUAUGGCAAGUCUGAUGUGAAAACCCGGGGCUCAACCCCGGGACUGCAUUGGAAACUGUCGGACUAGAGUGUCG